rnacentral:rRNA from 1 species
UGAGGAAUAUUGGACAAUGGGCGAAAGCCUGAUCCAGCCAUGCCGCGUGAGUGACGAAGGCCUUAGGGUUGUAAAGCUCUUUAAGUGGGGAAGAUAGUGACGGUACCCACAGAAUAAGCCCCGGCUAACUUCGUGCCAGCAGCCGCGGUAAUACGAAGGGGGCUAGCGUUAUUCGGAAUCACUGGGCGUAAAGCGCGUGUAGGCGGUUUGGAAAGUCAGAGGUGAAAGCCCGGAGCUUAACUCCGGAAUUGCCUUUGAAACUCUCAAACUUGAAUUUGGUAGAGGAUAGUGGAAUUCCUAGUGUAGAGGUGAAAUUCGUAGAUAUUAGGAGGAACACCAGUGGCGAAGGCGACUGUCUGGGCCAAUAUUGACGCUAAGACGCGAAAGCGUGGGGAGCAAA